rnacentral:rRNA from 1 species
UACGUAGGGUGCGAGCGUUGUCCGGAAUUACUGGGCGUAAAGAGCUCGUAGGCGGCUGCUCAAGUCGAAUGUGAAAACUCGAGGCUCAACCUCGAGCCUGCAUUCGAUACUGGGCGGCUAGAGUCUGGUAGGGGGAUCUGGAAUUCCUGGUGUAGCGGUGAAAUGCGCAGAUAUCAGGAAGAACACCCGUGGCGAAGGCGGCUCUCUGGGACGGUACUGACGCUGAGACGCGAAAGCGUGGGGAGCGAACAGG